rnacentral:rRNA from 1 species
UACGUAGGGUGCAAGCGUUAAUCGGAAUUACUGGGCGUAAAGCGUGCGCAGGCGGUUAUGUAAGACAGAUGUGAAAUCCCCGGGCUCAACCUGGGAACUGCAUUUGUGACUGCAUAGCUAGAGUACGGUAGAGGGGGGUAGUAGGUCAAUUCCGGCGUGUAGCAGUGAAAUGCGUAGAUAUGCGGAGGAACACCGAUGGCGAAGGCAAUCCCCUGGACCUGUACUGACGCUCAUGCACGAAAAGCGUGGGGAGCAAACAGG